UGCAUCGGCCGGGAAUCGAACCCCGGCCGCCCGCGUGGCAGACGAGCAUUCUACCACUGAACCACCGAUGG
rnacentral:tRNA from 1 species